GUUAUAGUUUAUUUGAUAAUCAAAUUUACAUGGAUAACCGUGGUAAUUCUAGAGCUAAUACAUGCUGUUAAGCCUGACUUUGAGGAAGGGCUGUAUUUAUUAGAUAACAAACCAAUAUUCCUUGUGUCUAUUGUGACGAUUCAUAAUAACUGAUCGAAUCGCAUGGGCUUUGCCCGCGAUACAUCAUUCAAGUUUCUGCCCCAUCAGCUUUCGAUGGUAGUGUAUUGGACUACCAUGGCUUUCACGGGUAACGGAGGAUUAGGGUUCGAUUCCGGAGAGGGAGCCUGAGAAACGGCUACCACAUCUAAGGAAGGCAGCAGGCGCGUAAAUUACCCAAUCCUGACUCAGGGAGGUAGUGACAAGAAAUAACGGACCGAAGCCUAUGUUUCGGGAUUGCAAUGAGUAGAAUUUAAACCCCUUUACGAGGAUCAAUUGGAGGGCAAGUCUGGUGCCAGCAGCCGCGGUAAUUCCAGCU
rnacentral:rRNA from 1 species